UCUAUAAAUAGAGAAUCUGUCCCCGUGACAUUUUGGCAGCUGCUUCUCUCCCCCCACCCCUCGUAACCUUCAGCUUCUGAGGCUAAGCGGGGGGUCGGAAAGGGUUUGAGAGUCGAGUGCUGAUUUUGCCUGCUCUUCCAGGAAGCCUUCCCAGACAUUCAGCUGUAAAAGUAAAGGGCCAAACCACUAAAAAUUGAUAUCUUGCGUCCCUAUGGGCAAGGGCACGGGGUAGAUAUUGAGUGGCAGUGAGUGAGCUGUUGAAAUGAACAGAACAGACGAGAAGAUGAUCCACGUUUUGGAUUAGAGAGGAACUGCAAGGGAAAACCAAAUCCUUCAAAUUUAUACUCAGCGUCUGAGAAAAGGAACACGGGUUCGAGCCCUGGUCUGGGAAGAUCCCACAUGCUGCGAAGCAGUUAAGCCCAUGCGCCACAACUACUGAAGCCCACGCGCCUAGCGCCCGUGCUCCGCAACAAGAGAAGCCACUGCAGUGAGAAGCCCGUGCACCGCAACGGAGAGUAGCCCGCAAGAAGCAAGCCACUAAGAAGCAACGAAGACCCAACGCAGCCAUGAAUAAAUAAAUCAAAUAAAUCAAUUUAAAAAUCAUUGCUGGGCACCAAGGGAGGGUAAGGGGUUGGGGGGACUGUGAGAUACUUAAGGGGGUGGGGUGGCCCCUGUAUCUACAAAGCCGGGGCUAGCACGUCCAUUAAUGAGAACGGUCAUUUCCCUCUGUGGGUUG